rnacentral:rRNA from 1 species
UACGAAGGGGACUAGCGUUGUUCGGAAUCACUGGGCGUAAAGCGCACGUAGGCGGUUUCGUAAGUCAGGGGUGAAAUCCCGGGGCUCAACCUCGGAACUGCCUUUGAUACUGCGGGUCUUGAGUCCGAUAGAGGUGGGUGGAAUUCCUAGUGUAGAGGUGAAAUUCGUAGAUAUUAGGAAGAACACCGGUGGCGAAGGCGGCCCACUGGAUCGGUACUGACGCUGAGGUGCGAAAGCGUGGGGAGCAAACAGG